GUAGUCCACGCCGUAAACGGUGGGUACUAGGUGUGGGUUUCCUUCCUUGGGAUCCGUGCCGUAGCUAACGCAUUAAGUACCCCGCCUGGGGAGUACGGCCGCAAGGCUAAAACUCAAAGAAAUUGACGGGGGCCCGCACAAGCGGCGGAGCAUGUGGAUUAAUUCGAUGCAACGCGAAGAACCUUACCUGGGUUUGACAUGCACAGGACGCUGGCAGAGAUGUCGGUUCCCUUGUGGCCUGUGUGCAGGUGGUGCAUGGCUGUCGUCAGCUCGUGUCGUGAGAUGUUGGGUUAAGUCCCGCAACGAGCGCAACCCUUGUCCUAUGUUGCCAGCGGGUUAUGCCGGGGACUCGUAGGAGACUGCCGGGGUCAACUCGGAGGAAGGUGGGGAUGACGUCAAGUCAUCAUGCCCCUUAUGUCCAGGGCUUCACACAUGCUACAAUGGCCGGUACAAAGGGCUGCGAUGCCGUGAGGUGGAGCGAAUCCUUUAAAGCCGGUCUCAGUUCGGAUCGGGGUCUGCAACUCGACCCCGUGAAGUCGGAGUCGCUAGUAAUCGCAGAUCAGCAACGCUGCGGUGAAUA
rnacentral:rRNA from 1 species